rnacentral:misc_RNA from 1 species
GAAAUGCGAUAAGUAAUGUGAAUUGCAGAAUUCAGUGAAUCAUCGAAUCUUUGAACGCACAUUGCGCCCGCCAGUAUUCUGGCGGGCAUGCCUGUUCGAGCGUCAUUUCAACCAUCAAGCCCCGGGCUUGUGUUGGGGACCUGCGGCUGCCGCAGACCCCGAAAACCAGUGGCGGGCUCGCUGUCACCCCGAGCGUAGUAGUUUACACCUCGCCCAGGGCGCGACGCGGGUUCCCGGCCGUUAAACCCCCACCAUCUCAAGGUUGACCUCGGAUCAGGUAGGAAGACCCGCUGAACUUAA